UCCAGGAGCUCCAAGAAGCACACCCCUUUCCACCUCUGGCGCUCCAAGAAGAAGCAGCAGCCUCCGCCGUCGGACUGUGGGGUGUUCGUUCCGCACCCGCCGUCUGAUUGUGGGGUGUUCGUUCCGCACCCGCCCCCGGCGCCCCUCGGCGAGGCCAGGAGACAACCAGUCUUGGGUCUCGGUGGUAACUGUGGAAGACGCGGGGACACAUCCUCUCCUUCAUCAUCACCUGCUUCCUUCCCACAAGAGAAGCUCUUCAGGGACUGAUGCGUCAACUUCCUCGCUCACUGCUGGGUUCCUGGCUGCCUGUCUCUGCCUGGUUAUGAUUUCACAAAUUUACAAAGCCAGUGAUGUUAAACAAAGAGGAGUGCCAAUUUUUACCUUCAUGCCACUCAAUAGCUGAUCAACAGACAGCAAAAGUGACAGCCAGUUAGUUGGGCUUGGGCAUGUUUUCUGAGGAAAAUGGAUGUGGCCUGGGGGAAUGGAGGAGGAGGAUUCAGCCAGAUAAUCUCCAGUCUCUCCUGUAAAUUAGCAUAAACUUGUCAAGAAUAAACAAGAUAAAGGGUAUGAACAUUG